rnacentral:lncRNA from 1 species
AAGUGGGACCCUCAAAAAAAAAAAAAAGUCACAACCAGGAGCGCUUCACAGACAUCGUCAGCUUUUAUUUGCAUACUUUGCUGCAGAUAAUAAUACCGUGAUGAUUGGCAGUGGCGUGUUUUGCAGAGAAAGGAGGAAAACCCAAACACAAACGCACAAAGCGAGGCAAAAACUCACAUAAACAUGCUGGGAAGGGUGGCGCUCAGUGCUAUGGUUAUGUUUUUAUUAUAUGCCAGGGUAAUUAAUUUAACCCCGGGAGUGGUAAUUCGGGUAGAAGGUGCCCCAAAUGAGCCCCUUUAUCCAUCCCCCAAAUAUUUCUUUGGAAUGAAAAAUAAGUGAAAGAUAAACAUAUCAUUCCGGGCGGAGCAUGAAUCAUGGAGACUCAUAUUUACAGUUAUUCUCUACCCCUUUUUAUUGCGAUUCUCAUUUUGUUAGUGGACUGGCCGUUUCCUCCUGCUGGGGCUCCAGCACACCCCAGGCAGUGCACAAGCUGAGCUGACCACAGGGAAGGUAGGAUCUGAUCUGAAAGGGAGGGAGAGAGCAUCAAACAGAUAAAUGGGAGACUCUACAGCAAUACACGGGGGAGUCGCCUUUGGCCGUGGAGGUGGAUGGACGGACAUCUCCAGGCAGUAGGCGAGUUGGCAUUAAGGUUGAAGUGGUCCUUCUUCAUUUUCUCUCUGCAAAUAAUGUGCACUCUUAGGUUCAUCCUUCCCGAGGAAAUCGAUAGAGGACCAACACAGUGGACAGGAUCCGGGAGGUCCUUCCUGUUCUUUAGGUAUAAAUUAGAAGUUACAUGAAUUUCUUAAAUCUUGUGAAUUGGUGAGAUGCCGCCCUACUGACCUUCGAGAGUGAAUUCACCUCCUUUCACCUACAGAAUGACCUGACUCAAGGAAGGGCCCUUUCUAUCUUUAGGAUACAUGAAAACCUACAUUUACAUUGAGUCACACUUAAAAUAACCCAGUGGUAAAAAAAAAUGUGCAGUUUAACAGUUCCACAGCAGAUCAGACAGGUGCCUGUGAAGAUGCCUGAGUAAAAAGGGUUUUUUAAUUUUGUGUGUGUGUGUGUGUGUGCGCGCGCGCAUGUGUGCGCCCGUGCUGGAGAAAUAGAGUUGCCCUGCCCUUUGUAAAUUGCAAGUCAAUUUGAAGUUUUUGUCUGGUUGCCAUGGUUACUGCUCCUGUUUCUUUGCCCCGGGAUGAUGCAAAUCAUUGCCCGAUUUGCCCUUUCUCACCUGUUGCUACCGUAAACCAUCCCUAGAAGGGAAAGACUCCUUUGUGUUCCUUUGCUUGCUUCGUGUGUGUGUGUUUUAAGCCUGGGAGUGUGCGUUGCUGGGCUAACAGGAAAUCAGGUGGUAGGCAGUCAGGUCCUUGGUAAGGUGCAGCCCCUGGAUACUUUGGUGACAUUAUCUUCUUCAUAAUUAGCUGGGAAAAUCAUCUUGGUAUAGUCUAACGCGGCCCCAAACUCACUGUUUCGCUGAUGAAUUAUGUGAAAAAGGCAUCCUAUUCGCCAAGGAAUGCCAAGUCAUUGCCAGGUCAGCUUCAUUAAUUAGAGACAUUAAUUAUAGGCGAAAGUUAGAAAAAGUGAACGGCGAGUGGCUUUUUUUGGGAUCUUGAUCACCCUCCCGGUAUUCAUUGCACACUUUUGACUACUGAGUGGUACCCACCGAGCAUCUGAGCAUUCUCUAACAGUGCCGAGCCUGACCCAGGGGUUCCAGGACAGGGCCUGAGGUGCUGCAUCUCUAACAAGCUCCCCCCUGAUGCUGAUGCCGCGGGUCCUGGCCCCUCACCUUGAGUAGCCGCAAUGAAGCUACACGGAGAACUGGAGCCCUGAAAAACCACCAAGCAAAUUCCCGUUUUCUCCUCCACAGACCUUUCGUGCACUGAAUCUCACUGCUUUUUAUUUAGGAAAACAAUGCGAUUAUCAGCAGGUAUUGUGGAACUUCUUUUUCCACUGGUGUUUGGUUAUUGAAAUGGUGACAACAUUUUACCCCAUCCACCUAGACUUGGGAUUUUUCUUUUCUCUCCUCUCCCCUCCCCCUCCCCUCCUGUGUGUGUGUGUGUGUGUGUGUGUGUGGUCAGGGAUCAAACUUCUGCCACAGCAGCCACCCGAGCCACUGCAAUACAACACUGGAUCCUUAACCCGCUGCGCCAUGAGAACUCCUAGAAUUAUUUUUUUUUAAUUGAAGUAUAGUUGAUUUACAAUAUUGUGUUAGUUUCAAGGGUUCUCUUUAAAGCAAGGAUCCAGCAUUGUCACUGCUGUGGCAUGGGUUCAGUCUCUGGCCUGGGAAUUUCCAGAGUGCAAUGGAUUCAGCCAAAAGAGAAAAAACAACAGCUAAAAAUAGAGCUACCAAAUGAUCCAGCAAUCCUACCCCUGGGCAUCUAUCCAGAAAAGGCUGAAGUUCUAAUGUGACACGAUAGGUGGACCUCAGUGUUCAUGGCAGCACUGUUACAACAGCCAAGACCUAGAGGCAGCCUACGUGUCCAUCGGCAGGUGGGUGGAUAAAGAAGAUGUGGUGUAUAUACACAAUGGAAUACGACUCAGUCAUAAGAGAGAAUAAUGUAUUGCCAUUUGCAGCAACCCAGAGAUGGGAGGGACCUAGAGAAAAUCACACAGAGUGAAGUAAGUCAGACACAGAAUGACAAAUACUAGGUGAUGUCACAUAUGUGGACUCUAAAAAAUAAUGCAAGUAAACUCUUGAAUUCUUUUUCUGCUAAAUCUGUUAUAUAGCGAGGGGUUGGGAGUAGUGGUCAAAAGCAUAGACUCUGGGCCCCAGCUGCCUAGAUCUGGCUCUGCCACCUUACUAGCUCCAUGACCUUGGGCAAAAGAGUUAACUCUCUGUGCUCAGUUUCUUUGUCUAUAGCACCCAGGUGCUAGUACUCAUCUGUUAGCAAUUUUGUUAGAAUUCAUGAAUUAAUAUAUGAAUUAGUGUGAAAGAAUAUGUCAAAAUAUACCUGGUGCACACUAUAUGUUUGUUACUUUUAUUGUCAUUGAUAACAUUAUUCAUCUUAUUAAAAUUAGAGACCAUGGAGUUACAUUAAAUAUUUGAGACCAGGUGGACUGAUUUUUUUUUUUUUUUUGUAGGGGCUGGGGAGAAACAAUUUUUUUCUUUAUUAUUCAAUGAUUUUAUUACAUUUAUAGUUGUACAAUGAUCAUCACAAUCCAAUUUUAUAGGAUUUCCAUCCCACAACCCCCUUCCUUUUUCUUUUCCUGGCUGCGCUUGCCGCACGUGGAAGUGCCCAGGCUAGGGGUCAAAUCAGAGCUGCAGCUGCCAGCCUAUGCUGCAGCCACAGCAACACCGGGUCUAAGCCACAUCUGUGACCUGGGCCACAGCUUGUGGCAACAGCAGAUCUUUAAUCCACUGAGAGAGGCUAGGGUUUGAACCCAUAUCCUCAGAGACAUCGUGUUGGAUUUUUAACGCACUGAGCCGCUAAGGAACUCCCAGUUGCGUAUUUGGAUGGGAGAUUUGUCCUGACUGUCCAUGUGAAUUCUGAAUGGACAAGUUUGUAACAUAAAGACUCAGGAGAGUCCUACGAAAAGGAAGCAGGUGGAGAUUUGCUCCAAAGAAGAGAGGCAAUGCGAAGAUCGAGCAGAGCAGUUGAAGGUGCUGUGCUCCCUUCCUUGAAGAUGGAAGGAAGCCUGGAGCCAAAGGAUGCGAGCAUCCAGCCCUGGGGCCCGGAUAAGGUGAGGACGUUGCUCCAGUCUAGAGCCUUCAGCGCGACCCCGCCGAGGGCUUGAUUUCACCCCCUGGAACCCAUUUCAGAUUUCUCACCUCCAGGAAUUGAGUUGUUUUCAGCCCCCUCCCCCCAGUUUGUCGUAAUUUGUCACAUAGGAAGCUAAUAUGUCACUUCACUGUCUAAGAAGUAAGCAUCUCUCUCAAGGGCAUUGAGAUUUUACAAAACGAAAUUAAUAUUCAAAUGUAUAACGAGCCUAUGUGAAACCGUAAUAGCUGUCAUUGAUUGGAAAAGGGGAGAGUUAAAAGGAGAACAUUUGAAGUUGACUCCUGGGGUACGCAUUGGUUGGAGAAGCUUUGGAAGUAGAGAGAAUCAGGGGUUCUUUCGUUUCUUGGCAUUUUAUGGCACCGCGCUUGGCUGUACCAUCGUCUUGUGCACGAAGCCGAUACUGCCACGACACGGUACAGUCAGAGGCUGCAAAUCUUGCUGAGACGUGAUGCUCUCUUUCUUCCCAUCCUCUCCCUCCUCUUCUCCCUCCUCCCACCCCCUAACAUUAUGUGGUCCCCAUGGCCGAACUUUUCUGGAAGACGACUCUCUAGGCUAUGUAUAUUUUUCAUUUGAUUUGGUUAACACGUCUUAGAAUGAAAAAAAAUUAUGGCAAUUGGAUGGCAUCAAGAGGAUUUGACACCUUCUAGGAUGAGAGGCAGAGAGAGAAUUCUGGAUUAUUUAUUCCCCCCCAAGGAUAGCCUAGUUCUCCAUGUUAGAGGAGUGCAUCAUUAAUGUUUUCGAAUUUACUGGAACAUACCUUACACCUAGGUAGGUGGCUGUGAUUUCUUAUUUACCUUUCUCUUUUUUUUUAGGUUCACACCUGCAGCAUAUGUAGGUUCCCAGGCGAGGGGUUGAAUGGGGACUGCAGAGCUGCCUGCCACAGCCACAGCCACAGCCACAGCCAUACCAGAUGCAAUCUGUGUCUGCGACCCACACCACAGCUCGUGGCAAUGCUGGGUCCUUAACCCACUGAGCAAGGUCAGGGAUGGAACCUGGGUCCUCGUGGGUGCUGGUCGGACUCAUUUUUCACUGAGUCAAGAUAGGAACUCCUUACUUAGUUUUUUUUUAAUCUUCUUAUUUUGUUCUUAAGAUGGGUGAUUUCUUUUCGUAAAAGAUCUUGGUGGAAGAAUUCACAUCAACCACCACAAGGAACUUACUUUAUGCCGCACUUUGCAUGUUUCCCUGUGGCCUCUCAUUGCGAUGAAAUAAGGCAGAAUGUUUUUGCUGCUUGAACUUGGCUUCCCUUUAUUUUCCGUCUUCAUUAAUGCCUGUCUUGCUUUGGCACACGGCACUCUGGUUCCCAACACUCUGGGAGAAAAUGCUUAAUUACUGAAAAACUUUGACUGCAAUUCAGGAAGAACAUGCCGGGGAACAUAUUUGUUCAGGUUAAGUUUAUGCGACUUUCAGAAAACAAGACACAAAUAAUCUGCCGCUAAACCACACGCGGGCGCGUUCCCUGGAAGGAUUUGGUUGUGCGGGGGGCAGAAAGAGAUGGUGUCUGAGCCACUCAUUGAACAUGCCUUAAAAGGAGACGCAAGAAGCAAGAUGUGCUCCUGCUGGCAGGAGACCAGUUCCUCUCGAGGUCUGUACACGGUGCCAGAACACCGUCCACGGGGCCGCGGAAUUGAACACAAGCGUCGAGUUUUAACUCCACUCCGUGUGCAUCGAGGUUGCUUAGGUAUUAGGAACAUCUCCUUUAAAAAAAAAAAAGAAAGAAAAUAACACUAGACUGUGCGUUGGAAGACCAGGGUUGCCGCUUUGGGGGGCAUCACUUCCUCCCCACACAGCGUUAAACCAGCCCCUUCACUACAUGUGCGUCCAUUUGUUUGUAAAGUAGCAAGGUUGACGUUGCUUCCCACUCGUGAUGCUCUGGGGGAUGUAAAGAUUGGGUGUCUGCAACCACGUCGUCAAAUGCGAUUUUAU